rnacentral:rRNA from 1 species
CGAACGGGUGAGUAACGCGUGAGGAACCUGCCUCAAAGAGGGGGACAACAGUUGGAAACGACUGCUAAUACCGCAUAAGCCCACGGGUCGGCAUCGACCAGAGGGAAAAGGAGCAAUCCGCUUUGAGAUGGCCUCGCGUCCGAUUAGCUAGUUGGUGAGGUAAUGGCCCACCAAGGCGACGAUCGGUAGCCGGACUGAGAGGUUGAACGGCCACAUUGGGACUGAGACACGGCCCAGACUCCUACGGGAGGCAGCAGUGGGGAAUAUUGCACAAUGGGGGAAACCCUGAUGCAGCGACGCCGCGUGGAGGAAGAAGGUCUUCGGAUUGUAAACUCCUGUUGUUGAGGAAGAUAAUGACGGUACUCAACAAGGAAGUGACGGCUAACUACGUG